rnacentral:piRNA from 1 species
UGUCAUUUUCAUGGUUUGUCUUCACUAU